rnacentral:rRNA from 1 species
UCCGAAGGUGACUAGCGUUGGUCGGAAUCACUGGGCGUAAAGCGCACGCAGGCGGAUCGAUAAGUCGGGGGUGAAAGCCCGGGGCUCAACCUCGGAAUUGCCUUCGAUACUGUCGGUCUCGAGUCCGGGAGAGGUGAGUGGAAUUCCUAGUGUAGAGGUGAAAUUCGUAGAUAUUAGGAAGAACACCAGUGGCGAAGGCGGCUCACUGGCCCGGUACUGACGCUCAGGUGCGAAAGCGUGGGGAGCAAACAGG